rnacentral:rRNA from 1 species
UACAAAGGGGGCUAGCGUUGCUCGGAAUUACUGGACGUAAAGCGCACGUAGGCGGAUUGUUAAGUCGGGGGUGAAAUCCUGGAGCUCAACUCCAGAACUGCCUUCGAAACUGGCGAUCUUGAGUCCGGGAGAGGUGAGUGGAACUGCGAGUGUAGAGGUGAAAUUCGUAGAUAUUCGCAAGAACACCAGUGGCGAAGGCGGCUCACUGGCCCGGUACUGACGCUGAGGUGCGAAAGCGUGGGGAGCAAACAGG